rnacentral:lncRNA from 1 species
AGGACUUUGACAAACUCUAACUGCAAACCUUUGACUGUAAGUGUCACAGAAUCAUGAUAAUAUAUACCAUCAAAUGUAAGGAUCUUAGAUUCUAUGGGACUGAAUUUGGAUACACGAUCUUCAUCAAGCAUCAUUGCUUUCCAGGUUUCAAGCAUUUUGCUGGAAGUAAGCCACUGAAAUUGUUGAAAGCCACAUCAACAAUUUGAAGCAUAUCCCAAAAAUCACUGGUACGAGGACAUGCAAUGUGACCAUGAAAUUUGUUUCUCCUCAAAACAAGGACGCGGAGUCUGGAUAUUAUAUUUAAGAAGAAUGGAAAUCCAUCAUCUACCUCAUUGUUUCCAAGAUCCAACACCUCUAAUGAUGUGCAAUGUGCAAUAGAUUUGGGAAUUGGGCCUUGCAAUUGAUUGCUAUUCAGAUCCAGAGUUUUUAGAGCACAAGGUACUGGAAAUUUAUCUGGAAUGCUGCCUUUAAACUUGUUAUGUUUAAGAUUUAAUACCACAAGUGUCUCACUCUGAGUCAAGCACCCUGGAAUUAUCCCAUCGAAGUUAUUAUAAGAAACAUCCAGAACUAGCAGACUUGAACUAUUGCACAGGAAUUGAGGAAUACUCCCGGAUAAGUUAUUUUUGGACAGAGACAAGAAAAUUAUGCGAUACAUACGACUACCAACAUCUGAUGAAAUAAAAUUGAAAUUGUUGCUUGAAUAGUCCAAAUAAGUGACUUUCACUGGAAAUAUUUGUAGCUUCCCUUGGAGUUUGUUAGCAUGAAGGUCAAUGAGGCUCAGAUAGGAACUAGUGUUCUGCACAGAUCCUUCUAAACUGGUGAGCAAAUUGUGAGAAAGAUUUAAUUGAGCAAGAGAGUCAAGUUGCCAGAUCCAUGUUGGUAUAGAUCCUUGAAUAUGGUUGCUUGAGAGGUCUAAAGUGGUUAUUUNNNNNNNNNNNNNNNNNNNNNNNNNNNNNNNNNNNNNNNNNNNNNNNNNNNNNNNNNNNNNNNNNNNNNNNNNNNNNNNNNNNNNNNNNNNNNNNNNNNNCAGGUAGCAGGAAGCCAACUCUAAACUGCUCAUAUUGUGUAAGGAAGAUACAAAGCCUACAUCUGUAAGAUUUGUGUCUACUGACAAGUUGUUGUGUGAAAGAGCCAGUUUAUUUAGUUUUGGAAGUCUCUGAAUCACAUCUAGCUUUAUUGUGCCAUUUAACUUGUUGAAUGACAAUUGGAGGACAAUAAGAGACGUGAGAUUAAAAAUAGAUGCAGGAAUGGGGCCUUCUAAAUUAUUACUUCUUAAAUCAAGACUCUCUAACAUGGAGGAGGAGAUAUUUGAAAAUUCAUCAAGCUGUCCACUAAAAUGGUUGUUGGAAAGAUCAAUCCUUUGCACCGAUGGAAGUGCAAAAAGAGAAGAAGGAAUGUUUCCAUCAAGUAAAUUGUCCUGUAAAUCAAUUUGGACCAGCUUUCUUAGGCCUUCAAAGUGAGCACAAGUAAUGGAACCUGUGAAAUAAUUGUUUGAGAAGUCUAAAUGCGUGAGGUUCCUGAACAUAUUCAAGGACGGAAUUGGACCAGUGAAGUUAUUAAACGACAAAAGCAGAGAAGUGAGUUCCUUGAGUCCUGACAUUGAACUGGGUAGUGUUCCGUUAAAAUGACAAUUAGAAAGAUCUAGGAUGGAUAACUGCUUAAGAUUACCUAUAGAAGUUGGUAAUGCUCCUGAUAACCUUGUGUGACUCACAAUUAAUUUCUGAAGGGAACCAUUCAGAGGUAAUCCAGGCAAAGAUCCAUUAAGAUAAUCGUUAUAUGAUAAGUCUAUGUCAGACAAUGUUGUCACCUGAAAGAUCUUCUCUGGAAAUAUUCCUGUCAAUCCACAAGAACUAAGGUGGAGGGUUACUAAAUUNNNNNNNNNNNNNNNNNNNNNNNNNNNNNNNNNNNNNNNNNNNNNNNNNNNNNNNNNNNNNNNNNNNNNNNNNNNNNNNNNNNNNNNNNNNNNNNNNNNNNNNNNNNNNNNNNNNNNNNNNNNNNNNNNNNNNNNNNNNNNNNNNNNNNNNNNNNNNNNNNNNNNNNNNNNNNNNNNNNNNNNNNNNNNNNNNNNNNNNNNNNNNNNNNNNNNNNNNNNNNNNNNNNNNNNNNNNNNNNNNNNNNNNNNNNNNNNNNNNNNNNNNNNNNNNNNNNNNNNNNNNNNNNNNNNNNNNNNNNNNNNNNNNNNNNNNNNNNNNNNNNNNNNNNNNNNNNNNNNNNNNNNNNNNNNNNNNNNNNNNNNNNNNNNNNNNNNNNNNNNNNNNNNNNNNNNNNNNNNNNNNNNNNNNNNNNNNNNNNNNNNNNNNNNNNNNNNNNNNNNNNNNNNNNNNNNNNNNAGUAUCCGGAGCCUUUGCAGGUUGAAAAGAGUACUUGAGUUGUCAAAUCCACCAUUGAUUGAUUCUCCAUUCAGGUCAAGGCCAAUAACAUGUCCCUCCUUAUCACAGGUUACACCUGUCCACUUACAGCAAUCUAUGCUUGAAUUCCAGAAUACAAGUUUGUGAGAUUUUUCUUGCUCGAAUUUGAGGCUGUUCUUCAGUUUUAGCAAUGAUUGUUGUUGAUCCUCAACAAUUUGACCAGAAACCCCGGUGAAAUAAACAGUGUGAUGCAUCCAAAAGCAGUAACAUAAUAUGAUGAAAAGGAAAGGAACAUUGGAAAUUCUCAUUGGAGUUCAGUGAGAAAGACACACAAUGAACCCAAAAACACAGACCGAAGAAGCAAACAGGCUAAUGAUGGCUUAUGGACCCUUCUUUUUCCAGUGUUUAUCUUUCAAUGCAAUUUGCCAAAGAAUAUAUAUAUAAGUAUAAUUAAACCUAAUGUUAGAGUGUUUGACAUGUUCCAACGAAGAGUGAGAGGAAAAGUUGAUUGAGAAAGUGUAAGAUGGGUGAAGCUAAAUUCAAAGUAAAUCACGUCUUCCUAAGGUACCACUUUUCUUUCUUUCUUUCUUUCUUUUUUUCUCACUCUGUUUCUAAUUUUCUUGUAAUUAAUUAUCCAACCAGAAAACAAAGAAAAACAACGUUGCCAUUAUUGCAUUCACUUUCCUAGACAUUUCUUGUCUGAAGACUUUUUCUUGGUCACUUAGCUUGUAAAAUGGACCUCCCACUAUUGGCAAGUUUAUAUGUAGAGCUGUAGCAAAAAAGUUAUAUAAAGAGAUAUCAUGAAAUCAUUUUAAAAUUCACUACAUUGCACUAGUUUUUCAUGUGUAUAUUGGGUUGUUGAAUUUUAUUUUUUGUGAUAUGUUAAAAAUAAUAGAUAAAAUUGUGUUAGCUACGUAUUUCAUCAGUUUUUUUAAUUGGAGAAUUGAGCAUCGAAACUUUAAAUUUCAAAUUGAAUUCCCAGUAGUUCCUGGUUAAGAAUCCAAAUGAAUUGAUAUAGGUUAAAGCUUUAUAAAACUUAAAUUUUCUUAUUUUUAAACUGAAAUUAAAGUUCCAUUAUGAUGCAUUUAUUUGAUAAAACUAUUUUAGUUUAAAAUACGUUUUUUUUUUAUCUUACCACAUUUUUAGUUUAUGUUCUAUACUAAUAUCUUGGAACUUAAAGCACUCAAAUAUAUGUUUUAUACGUUACCGUUCAAAGCCUAUUUAGAGAAAAAUGUUACCUGCUAAUUUUUAGUUAUUUUUUAUAUUUUUGUACAAUCAAAUUGUUUUAACCAUUAUCAUUUUAAUAGUGAUACUUUUAUCAACUAUCUUGGAAUUAAUAUCUCACAAUUUGGAUGAAAUAGAGUAUGACUAUGUAAAUUUUGGAAAGCAGUAGCUAUUAACCAACCCUGAAAGUUAAAAGAACAUCAAUAGUCAAUCUUGCUAAGUGGAUUCUUAGUAUAAGUAUCUCGUGGGAUAGAAAAGAAAAGAAAAACUUAAGUUAUCGCAAGAGUACUACAUUAAGAAGGUGUUGCAUAGAUUUUGGAUGGAAAAUGUUAAAGUCUUAAGCACUUCUCUUAGAAUUCUUCUUAAAUUGAGUAUUAAAAAGAUUCAUUCAAAAUGAAGUUGAGAAGAGAAAUAUGAAUAAAGUUUCUUAUGCAUAUGCACUUAAGAGUUAACAAUUUGAUGUAUGUCAUUAUAUGUAUAAGAUUAUAUAUUACAUAUAUUUUUUUACAAUCACUACAAAAAAUAAUUAAAUAGCAACUAAACUUAGAGACAAAAAAUAAUUAAACACUAUAUUGACUAAAUAUAAUAUAUAUUAUUUUAGUGACUAAAAAAUUAUUAGUAUCUAAAAUGGUUUCUAUUAUUAAUAUAAAAAAUUAUAAAAUAAUUUCUAAAUUGAUAUCUAAAUUAGUUACUAAGAUUUUAGAUUCUAAAUUAGUCUCUAAAAUUAUAAUGGAGAUAAUUUAGAGUAUAAAGUAGUUUGUAUUUAAAAUCUUAGUAGCUGAAUGUUAAAUACCAAUUUUGAAACUAAUUACAAAUUUUAUUAGUAAUAGAAAUUACUUUAGAUAUCGAUAUUUUUUAGUUUAUAAAAUAGUCUCUGAUUUAGUCGAUUCACUAUCUAAUUAUUUUGAUAUGUAAAAUUAGUUUUAUUUAAUGAUUUUUUUUUAGUAAAUUAGUUUAUUUUUGUUGAAUCAUGGUAUACAGUAUUGGAAUGUUAUAAAUCAUAUACUUGAAUAGUAAAAUAGUUCGUCUCCACCAAUGUACGUUGAAUAACAUAUAUAAAUCUUGAUUAUAAUUUUUAUAUAAUUAAUGUGAAUUAAGUGUGUAUUUAGAUAUGUAAUUUUUAGUUAAGUUGUCUUUUUUAAUUAAAAUUAAAUAAAUUGGUAUUUUUAAUAAUGUUCUUCGACUAUAAAAUUCUCAAAUUCUCAUUUUUGUAAUCAAAACCUUCAACAUUCAUAAUCAAAAUGAAAUUACUUUAAACAUUCUUUUAAUCUCGGCUAAUUUACUAACCACAAUAUCAAUUUUUACCAAAUUCUCACUUUUCUUUUAUUUUUAAAAUCUUGGAAUUAUUGAAAUCUCAAAUCCAAUUUACACCCUUAAAUAUUAGGAUAAAAUAAGAACUUGAUAAUUUUUUAUAGAAAAAAAUUGAUAUAUAAAAGACUAAAUUUGCUUAAAAUUAGAAAUAGAUAGCUGGCUUAAAAAAAAGACUUCAAGGAGCGAAACUACACAUUAUUCAAAGGAAAAACAUUAAAAUUGUAAUUAAACCUGUAUAUAAAUAAUCUCUUUUAUAUUAAUUUUAUUCAAUUUUUUUUUAUAAUCUAAUAAUAAAUUAUUUAUGACGUAUUUUAUUGAUUUUUGUAACGAUUAUUUUUAAUAUAAAAUAUAUAAUCUUAUAAAAAAAUUAUGUUACUUUUAUAUUCGUUUCAGCUUUUGCAGAUAAAAAGAAAAUAAUUUUUAGGCUUAGAUUUUGUAAUAAAGGCUAUGAUUAACAGCCUCAUAAAGAAAAGAAAGUAGAAUUGUUUGAGGUUGGUUUUUAUGAGAUUAAGAAGUCCUACAAGUUUUGGUAAGGUUUUUUCUUUUUCAUAUUAAUUUUUGAAAACUAAAUGAUAUUUAUUUUUAAAAUUUUUUCAAUCAAUUUCAAGUAUUUCAAAGUUUUUAUUCCACGUUUUUUUUUAAAAUAGUAGUUACUAAAUACUUUGUCGCACUACAAGAAAAACAUGAAAUAAAAAGCAAUUUUAGAGACAAAAAAUAAUUAGUUGUUAUAGUAACUAAAUUAGACACCACUUUAGAAACUAAAAAAAAAAUGAUUUCUAAAUUUGUUUCUAGUAUUGUUAAAUGGUUUCUAAAAUAGUAUCUAAUUAACUACCAAGGUUUUAACUACCAAUUAUGUAGUUUCUAAAUUUGGUAGCAAAAACAUUGGUUGUUAAUUAAAUACCAAUUUAGAAACCAUUUAACCAUAAUAGAAACUAAUUCGGAAACCAAAAAAAAUUUAGUCUCUAAAAUAGUCUUUAAUUUAGUCACUAUAACAAUUAAUUAUUUUUUAUCUUUAAAAAUUGGCUUCUAUUUUAUUAUUUUCUUGUAGUGUCAGGUCAUAUAACAAACUAGAUAGAUCUAUUAUAAACUCUAUUAGUAAGGUGUCGAACUAGCACUUAAUAAAGUGCUUUAUUUACUUAUUCCUAAUAGAUGAGUUACAUAAGAACUUGUAUAUUACUCAUAUUCUAUAAUUGUUGAUAUAAUUAUAAAUGGGUUAACUUUGAUAAAGAAGAUAAUAUCUUAACUUCUUAUAACUUAACAUAUCCAUAUACUUGAUCAUCUUGCUCAUAUCUAAAAGUACAAACAUAAUAAAUACUUAUCUAACUUGAAAAAGAACAUGAAACUCACAACUUAAAUCUUAAUAACAACUUCUUAUAUCAUUACCAGUUAAUCUUGCUCAUAUCAUAUAACAUAAUAAACAUUUAUUUUUUCGAAAAACUCAUAUCCACCAUAUCUUCUAUUGAUGAAAUAUCAAGAAUCUCUGUUUAAUAAAGUCUCUAUAAACACUAAAUUAAUGAGUCAUCUUUUUGAAAAACUCAUGAUUGGUUAUAAUUAACGAAUAUCAAUAUAAUCUAAUUUUUAAUGAAGUUUUAUGAUUGAUAACAUUCACUAGUGAAUUGUAAAACUAAUUUUAUAUUUGUUUAGUGAAGUCUUACCAUUGAUAUUGUUAACUAGUGGAUAUUAAAAACGAUUUUAUAUUUGUUUAGUAAAGCUUUAUGGUUUAUAGGGUUAACUAGUGAAUCACAAAAUCAAUCUUAUAUUUGUUUAGUAAAAUCUUAUGAUUUAUUUAUAACAUUCAUCAAUGCAUCAAUAGAUCGGACAAACAAUCUUAUAUUUAUUUAGUGAAGAAAAUUGAUAGCGUUCAUGAGUGGUGAUUUUAUAUUUGUAUAGUGAAACCUAUAAAAUUGUGUAAGGAUAAAAGUGAUACAAAUAAGAUAAAGUAUAAAUAUUUUAUUAUUAAAGUGUAAAGCUUAUAAAUAAUAAAAGUUAAUUAUUCAAAUUUUAUUUAAAAAGAAACAUCAUCCUUCUCUACCUUCUUUCUAAAAAAUCUGACAAAUUUGUUAAUCCUUUUGAAGAUUGGAGCUUGUCAUAAGAAUCUUGUUCGAGAAUAAAACAAGUUUAUCCGAUCAUAAUAUUCUUUUGAGUAAGUUCCUCUUCACCCUUGUUUUUUGUCAGUUUUAAGAAAAUUCUACUUGUUUGAAGAGGGGAUUGUUUGCAUGUGAUGUUCCUAGAGCUAGGUGAGUCUCUAUUAGUCUAGGAUUAUAGACAUAUGUUUGCAUCAUUGAUCAAGACUUUCUAUCUACAUGUUUAUCUUUUCUAUGAGUCUUGUGGAGAUAGAGACAUUGGUUAUGUGUUGAGCAACUAAAGAGGUAAAAGAAGUUAGUUUGGUUUUCAAUAACACCUUAAAGUGGAUAAUCUAGAUUUGAAAGUGACGUGAUAUCCUCUUUUUAAACUUUUGCAAGAAUUUGUGUGAUGAUUGAAUUGUGUUUAGAAUUAAAUGUUAUAAUUAGAUUUAAGAUUUCAAUAAUUCUAAGAUUUUAGAAAAAAAAAAGUGAGAAUUUAGUAAAAAAUGAUAGUGUGGUUAGUAAAUUAACUUUGAGAUUGAAAGAAUGUUUAAAGUACUUUGAUUCGAUUAUCAAGGUUUUUAUUACAAAAUGAAAAUUUAAGGAUUUUAUAGUUUGAAAAAAAUUAUUAAGAAAUCCAACUUAUUUAAUUUUAAUUAAAAUAAAUAAAUUAAUUAACUAUUCAUGUGUAUUGCUGACGAAAUAUUUUACUAUUCAAAUGUGAGCUUCUCCUUAAAAAGAAUUUUCUGCUUUUAAUUAUCUUGAAAAGGUUAAAAAAUGUGUUAGUGGAAAAAAUCAUUGGAAACGAAAAUAAUUAUUUUUCUGUAAACUGUUGCCAAAUAGUUAUCGAUCAAUUAAUUGUUGGCUAUUGAUUAAAAAAACCAUUAACUCGAAACAAAUUACUACUAUACCAAUUAAAGAAUGUUCCUAUAAAAUUAGCCUUCAAAAAAAUAAGUGGACUUCCCUUUCUUUAUGCACUCCCACCAAACUUUAAAAAAAUAUUAAAAAUAUUCAAUUUGAAUUUUAUAAAUCUAAAUACAAAUUUGCACUUUGGAUUAAUUUAGAAUAGAAAUUUAUAUUUUGAAUACAAUCUAAAAUACAAAUUUUUGAAUUUUGAAUAAACAAUCAGAGUACAAAUUUGUAUUUCACAGUGAAAGUGAAAUUCAAAAUACAAUGCAAUAUGAAAUAUUGUAUUCUUGAUUGGACAAUAUAGUAUACAAUUAUACUUAUAUAAAUUUUGUAUUUAAAAAAAAAAUACGAAUUUUUAUUUUUGGAUCCUAUAAUCAGAGAAGUUUUCAGAUUUUACAUUCUACAAUUAAAAAAAAUUAAAGGAUAAUUUAAGUUUUUUUUUUAAAGUAUGAGGGUGAAGGAAGAAAUGCAUUGAGGUGAAAAGGUUAAUGCAAUGUUAAUUUAUGAUCUUGAGUGCAUGAUUCUUGUAGAAAAGUUCCAAGAAAAUGUAUUCAAGAAUGCAAAGUUCUCAUGUAACACCCCGGAAAAUACAUCUAACUAUUACAAUACCGGUUCUACAUAUUUCCGUACAAGCUUACAGUUUUUCAAAACAUUCCUAAUAUGUGAUUAGGACAUAUGGAAAUACAAAUAUUUACAAUAUAAGUUUCAAAAUCAACGCCUUAAAACUCUUCUGAUCCUCAGACACCUGUAAGAUCAUCUGCUCGUGUACGUAGUACAGUCAUCGCAGUUCAAACACAGCAAGAAAAGCAAGGGUAAGCUAGUGAAAAUAGAAUUUUAUAAUAUACGCAAUUAAAUCAAAAGAGAAAACCAAGUUACAUGAUCAGUUUCUCAAAUUAUACAAUCUUCUUCAAAUCCCAACAUUAAAACAAUCACAUAGAUCUCACAUGGAUCUACACAUCCAAGGUAUUCAACAAACAACGUCUUCUGGAAGACCCAUAUUAAGUAAGUCCUACCAGAGACUAACACCUGAUCCAAAGAUUACCAGCGAAUCUAACAGAAAGGAUCAGGGUAAGUUCAAUACAACCCAAGCCGUGCAUCUCAUAUGUCAUGGUGUGCAUGAACUCCCCCAUCAGCUUCUCACCACCUGAUAUCUUAGUCUAUGUGACUUAGAUCAUCAGUGAAGCUCGGAGAUCUUUGUUACCACAUAGACAUCAAUACUUAAUACACAGCAAACAUCAAUCCAUACAUUAUCCCGACAUCAAUACUUAAUACACAACAAACAUCAGUCCAUACAUUAUCCCAAAUGUAUGAAUUCAAUUUCAUACCAUUUCGUCAUACAAUAUCAUUCAAAAAGUUAUCCACAAUAUUCAAAAGUUUAUUUGACAUAAAAAAAAUACACUUUAAUACUAAAUCAUCAAAACCCAAUAUUUCCACAAAUUUAAAUAAUAUAUAAACAAACAACCCAAUAUAAAUAAACACACAACAUCCCUGCAAGAGAAAUUGAAUAUUGGGACCAUGUCCCUUCCGCAUUCAGAUCUUCUAUCCUAGGGUGCUAUUAAAAAUUAAAUUUAGCUUCCCUUACCUCAAUUGCUUGCUUUUCAAGCAACUUUUAGAAUUUUAUUCCCCACCGUUUGGAUAAGCUUCAAGAUUUACGGGCCUAAUGCAAAUUAUCCAAACAGAACAAAAAUUUAGUAUAUAAUAGAAUAAGUUGAGAGGAUUAAACUUCUCAACUGACCCCACCAAGAUUGAUGAUUAAAUCCUAAGGAAAAACAGAGAACAAAGGAUAUUUAGAGUAAAAAUGAACUUACUCUGUUUAAAAAUCUGAUCGGGUAGAAAUGUUCCUUAAUUCCUCUGCUACAGCGUGGUAUGAUCAGAUUCUAAAAUAGAUGAAGUUUGGGAGAGAAAAUUAGGAGAGAGGGAGAGAAGAGAAUAUGGAGAGAGAGAGAAAGAAGAAAAAUGGUACUGUGGUGGUGGGAAGAAUGUUUCUGUUGCUUUUAAAAAAAGCACGCUGUUACAUCUCACUCAUCAUGCAACUCUUGAUGUUGAAGGUCAUGAAGUGACAGGGGAUUCUACCUCCAAAAAAUUUUCCGACGCUCAAAUUAGUAAUAGCAUAAAAAUAUAUAAGUGUAGUUUGUAUAGAGAGAAUAUGAAUCGAAAUACUUUUUGGGACCUUCGCGUAUUUAUAGAGUUUUUGGUGGACCUUAUCACAUUUAUCUUUCUGUAUCAGUUAUUUCAGCAUAAUAUCAUGUAAAGAAAAAAGAAAAACAUUACGGAAUUGAGUAACAAGAUUUUAUCAAUUAAUAUAUCUUUUAAAAAGUUAGUUGUGGAUCUUUUAAUAGAAUCAAGGUUUAAAAGUGUUAUGAUUCUGCGAAUAUAAUGGAGAUAAAAUGAUUUUUUAGAUAUCACCAAGAUUGUAGCCUUAUUUUUUUGUUGUCUUUAUCUUGUCACGUGCUACCACCCUUUGGUCUGGGUCUUUAUCCGAUACAAGGGCGGGUUAAAUCCGAGUUUCCUUUUCACAGAGAUUUUUUGUGUGUGUAUGGGUAGUCAUGGUCUUUCCCACAUUCAGACAAGGUCUAGGAUGACACAAUUAUAUUUUAAAAAAUUAAAAACAUAAUGUAUGAAUUGAGAGAGAUUAAUAAAGGAAUAUCUAAAUUGUUAUGGAUUUAUGAUAGUUGGUAAGGUACCAUGAUAAAUGAAAUGAAAGUAAAGACAAAUUGUUUUAUUAUAAGUGAAAAUCCUAAUGAUUAUCAAUAUAAUAACAAAGUUGGUAUGGAAAAAAUAAGAAGCAAUGCAAAAAAAAGUGAAAUGAUAAUUUAGGGCAAAUUAAAGUUCUCUCCAAAGCCUAAGUUUAUAGCCUCUGUCACUUCUUUCUCUCCUGGUACCCUAACUUUCUCCUUACAAAUCCAUGCACACUGUGUUCUAUUACUGCUAACUAGACAAAUAGUUUGACGAUGACAAUGAAAUAUUGGAUUUCACAAUUAAGAAUUCCCAAGAAUAUACAAAUAAGAAGAGUAUCUCUACAUCCAGGGCCCAUUAAAUCUCUUAAGAAAGCUAUUAUUAAAGGCACAUUGGGGUCACAAUUAGCUGAGUUGAAAGUGUAAGUAUAGAAGAAUCCUUUUUAAGUUAUAUAACCUUUUUAUACUAUUAAAAAAUAUCGAUAUAAUAUAAAUUACAAACAUUCAUCUACUUGUUAAGAUAUGCUUCACAUUAUUGUUAAACAUUAUUUCUUUACUAAUAAAUAGGAUUGGGUGUGUGUCCAAUCAUUAAUAGAAAAAUGAUAAAUAAUAACGUAAUUUCAAAAAUUGUAUUCAUAUAAGUAACUAAAUCACUGAUAUUUUUUUUUUCAAAAGUCAUGGUUUAGUAAUCAAAAUUUCAAUAAAAAAAACAAAGUAAAUAAUUUAAUAUUAUUUAAAAAAAGAUAAAAUAAUUGUAUUUUGUAUAAGACCGUAUCUGUUAUCAAUUGAUCAACUGCUACUUGUCACUCAAUCACUCUUCCUUUACUUUUCUUCUCAUAUUCGUUCCUUAGUACUCAGUCGAAAGUGGUACCACAAAAGGUUUUCCGACGAUCAAGUAAGUGUUUUGUAUUAUAGUGAGUAAUAUAUUGAUAAAAGUGUACCUUAUUCGUGUAUAAUCAUGUUUAUUUAUAAUUUUUGUAAUGAGAUAUCUCGUUUAUGGGUUAUAUCUUUGCUAAAAUGACAUUAUCAGAUUUUUCAUGGAUCUCCUUAUUUUACCUUGGUGCAUUAAUUUUAUGCGGUCGAGCAGCCUCGAAUAUCGAGUGAUGUGGUUCACUCGAUUCCGGUCGCAUAGAAUUAAUACUCCAAGGUAUUGACCGAAUCAAACUUGGAUAUUAAAUUUCACAUGAGGUGAAAGUAUUUCCGCAACAAGGGUUCUCUCACCUCAAAUUCUCCUUUAACUUGGUCAGGUACUAAUUGAGAAUCGCUUUUGCAUAGUACUUGUGAGCUCCCAUGUCAUUUACUAGUGUAAGCCUAGCCAUUAUGGUUUCAUAUUCGACCUAGUUAUUUGAAGCUUUGAAGUCAAACUUCAAAGAUUGUUCCAAGAGUAUACCAUCAGGGCUUUUUAGGACAACUCCUGCUCCACAUGAUAUUACAUUGGAUGAUUCAUCCACGUGUAGUGUCCAACAUAAGUCUGCUCCACAUGAUAUUACAUUGGAUGAUUCAUCCACGUGUAGUGUCCAACAUAAGUCUUCACCCUUGGUAGGUUUAGGACUUAAUUCUGGUGUGAAAUCAUCUAAACUUUGCAACUUGAUUGCCCCAUUCGAUUGGUACUGGAUUUCGAACUCUGAUAAUUCAACUGGCCCAUCCUAUCAUUCGCUCGGCUAAAUCUGGCUUAGCCAAGAUUUUCAUAUAGGAUAAUCGAAUUUCACAAUUAUCUUUUGAUUCUGGAAUUACAUUCUCAUUCGUCGGGAAGUGAUCUCGAUUGCUAAAGCAACUUUUUCUAUCAUUUGAUAUCUAACCUCAACACCAUGUAGUAUUCAGAUGAUAAAGUAUGUCGAUCGUUCCUCUUUUUUCACCUUUUAGACUAACACUGCACUUAUGCCUUCAUCUAAUACCGAUAGGUAUACGAUGAUUGAUCGUUGACGGUCUUGAUUUUGUAUAAUCGGUGGUGUUGUUAUAAAAGCGGUGGUGUUGUUAGCAAAGCUUUCAAUUGAAGGAAAAUUUCUUCACACUCGGGAUUCCAAUUGAAUUUUUCAACCUUUCUUAAGAGUUGGACGAUUGGUUUGGUUUUCUCUAUAGUCUUGGAACAAAUCUUGACAAAGUUUUCAACCGCCCAAUCAACUUCUGUAUUUCUUUGGUGUUUUUAGGGCUUCACAUUUCAAUGGUUGCCCUACAUUUCUCUGAGUUUGCCUCAAUGUCAUAGUGUGUUAGCAUGAAUCCCAAUAAUUUACCCCCUUCUACUCAAAUGCACAUUUGUCGGGAUUUAACUGCAUUUCAUGCUUUCUUACUGCUUUAAAAACUUCUCAUAAAUCUUUUACAUGUUGUAUGCAUGAAUUAGAUUUAACCACAAUGUCGUUGACAUAUACCUCAACAUUCCGACCGAGCAUUCCUUUAAAGAUUUGAUCCAUUAGCCUUUGGUAAGUGGCUUCAAAAAUUUUCAAACCGAACGACAUUACCUCAUAGUAGAAGUUAGCACAGUCGGUCAUGAAAGAUGUUUUAUCUUUAUCUCUUUGAAACGUUCUGAUACAAACCAUCUUGACAAAUAGAUAACUAAGGACACAAUAGACACUUCACAAUUAAGUCAGUCAUCUUAGUAUCCAAGAUAAGGCCCCACCAAACUUCAGAAAGACCUCAGCAGAAGAAGAACUAGACAUAGGCCAGAGCAUCAUAUGUUCUUUCUUAUGGUCUUUUUAAAUGACAAGUUUAUGUAAAUAAAUUGGCUCACUUUGGGUAUUCAAAUAGAAGAAUAAACUAGAUUAGGGUGUACUUAGUAUAAAUUGAGCUUGUGCCAAAGCCCACCUUAACCUAGCUCCUAGAAACACACCCAUGUGCUCACCUUUGACCUAUAUUCUAGAAGACUCCCCCAUGUGCUCACAUUUGACCUAGUUUCUAGAAGCUUGUAAUCAUUUACGCCCCUACCCUUCCUCUCUUCCUCUCCAAAGCACUCAUCUCUAUAAAUAGGGUGCUUCCCCUCUUGUAAAUUAGACAUUGAAAUUGAUUAUAGAAAAAAAAAACUUUGGGUGAGUGUUUAGUGAGUUUGAGUACUCUAGUAUUUUGGGGUCUUACCUUGAGUAAAUCAUACUUCAAGUGGUGGAUCGACACCACUCAUCUUAGAGUUUUCCACCCUCCAAGUGGUGUGACACCAUCUCCAUCUUCAUAAGCUUUCAUUCUCUUCAUCUUUUCCCUUUUAUUCCUUUUGCUUUUUUUCAUUCCAUUUGUUUAAUUCCUCUUCUUUUCAUUUGGUCAUUUCCAUCUUAUGUUAUUUUAAUUUCGCAAUCAUCAUCAUCUUCACCUUAUAAUUGUGUUUUCUUUUUUUCCUCUAAAAGUGAGCCUUCACACUUACUUAACCACUUGGUUAAGUUUAUGUCUAGUGGGAAUCUUCUUUGAGUUUCUCACCAUAUUCUGCUAAUCCAAAAUUUAUAAACAAAAGUGUCACCUUAAAAUGUGUAAUCCUAAAAUCAACUCACUUCGCAUUCGGAUUUGAUUGUACUCGAAAUACGCAUCUAGGAAACUCAACACUCGGUGAUCGGCUGCACCAUCUACAAAGCUAUCUAUGUUCGGUACGAGAUAGGCAUCCUUAGGGCAAGCUUUGUUCAAGUCUAUAUAAUCUCUGUGCAUUCUCCAUUUCCCAUUGACCUUUUUCACUAUUACUACAUUGGCUAACCAAGUGGUAUACUGCACUUCUUUGACGAACCCUAUUUCCAACAGCUUGUCAAUUUUGUUCUUUGCAGCAUUAUUCUUUUCUUCACCCAUUUUUUUUAAUUUGGGCGAUAGGUCGAGCUUCUUUAUAUACCAAUAACUGGUGUGUAAUGAUGUCAGGGCUUACCCGUGGCAUAUCAAACACAGUCCAAGUAAAAAAAUCAGCAUUUUGAAUUAGUGUUUGGCUUACCAUGACACCAUCGACGAUCGUUAAUGAUUUUCUCAUAUUUUUUGAGUGUUAUAAAGGUAUCAGACGUAGGUCCUCUCCAGAUUCGAUAUGGACAUCAUCAUUAUGGGGUCUAGGUCAACUAGGGCAACCAUGUGUUCCUUUUUGGGAGCCCUAGGCUCUUAGGACCAUUCUCUCCUCUUACGACCCUAUGGAGUGUUAUCUUCGCCCUAAACUCUAAAGCCUAAAUCUUAAACUCUGAACCAAGAACGCUCCCUAGAUGGUUCUCGGGGUUGUGAUUUAUUAGUAGGUUUGACCCUUAGGCUGGCCACAUAGCAUUCUCGUGCCACCUUUUGGUCUACGUGGAUUGUGACUAUAGCGAGAUAUGGAGUUGACACUAUUGCUCAGAGUACGUUGAGAGAAGGCCUUUCAAGCAAGAUAUUAUAGGAAGUGUUGGCUUUGACUCUCAAAUACCUUAUCUUGAUAGUUUAGCUUAGAUGUUUCUCUUUGCCAAACAUGGUGUAUAGAUCAAUAUACCCCUGAGUGUCCACUCGUUCUCCAGAAAAUCCGACAAUCUAAUCAUCAUAUGGUUGGAUUUCGAUCUCUGGGAUCCUCAUUUUUUUAAAAAUGAUGGACUAUGCCUUCAUCCGUUUGCAAUUUCUUUGGUGGAGUGGCGGAAGCAUCAAUGAAGGAAGAUGAACAAGGAGCUCACGUAGAGCUUGUGAAGGCUAAGUAUGGAGAGUGAUAGGUGAGGCCCAAUCUCUUGAUCUAGUGGAAAUUUGAAGACUAAGUGUCUAUCCUAAAGAGGUAUAGACAAGAGUGAGAUUGGCUGAAUAUUUUGGCAGCAAUUCACUCAUUCAUUAAUCUUGAAAAUACAUGAACCAAGCAACUAAAUUUAUAGAAGAGAGGGUUGAACAUUUUGGAGCCAAAAUUUGAAAAUUCAAAAUAAAACUCUCCAAUGAGAAGGUGUCAUUUGGAGUCAUGCUUUCCAUGUUUAGCUCACACCUUCCAUGCUAAAUCCUCUCCACUCCUAUGUUGUCAUGUGGACGUCUAUGUGCUCCAUGCAAAGGUAUUUUCGUUCUCCAAUAUACCCUAGAUGUUUUAGGGUUACAUUGGGCUCAAAGAAGCCCAAUUGUUAUCCUAAUUAGUCAUAUUUUACUAUUGGCCCAAAUACAAGCCCAAAAUCUUAUACUACUUGGCCCAAAUAUUUGUUCCAAUUAUUUUAUGCAACUAGGUCCAAUACAUAGCCCAUGAAAUCCUAAACAACUUUAUACAAUUUAUUUAAGCUAAAGCUUGGCCCAAAAAUAAUGUUGACUAGUCAACAGAAACUUAGUCUUCUUGUGUUCUUCUGACCAAAGCUCUAGUUUAUGUUUUGAUGACUUGGAGGGCUUCUUGGAUAUGUUUGUACAUUCAUUCACCCUAGAGUUGUCGUCUUAAUUGGGCCUACAAAAAUAAACAAAAAGCCCACUUAGACUCGUAUUUGCAAUUAAAUCAAUAAACAACCUCUAAGUCUUCAUCCACCUUAUUAUGGGGUUGUGUGUGGCUGGACGGUUUCCAUCAAAAAGUCUUCCAAUAAAGGAUAUCCAUUGAACAUCCUUGAUCCACAAGCAUCUUUGUAAUUGAAAAAUUAUCUACUUUCACUGUAAUGACCAUAGGAUCAUCUUAUGUUGGAUCGAUCACUUUAAAAUCAUCGUUUGCAAAGAGUAUUGGGGGCAUCCUUGGUCGGGCUAUAGCCGAAGUUGAGUUUACUAACUUAAUAGCCCGAAGAUGCUUCUUUCGGGCGGAGCUUGAACAUCCUUUGCAUGAAAAAUCACCAGUGAUUGUGUUAAUCAUUUCUCUGCCACUACGACGUGAAUGUUCAUCUCUUCUUGAGGGUUCACUCGUUUGUGGUUGAUCCUCUAGUCGUCGGUCAUCAUCGUGAUGCCAUCGAGGAUAAUAUUCUUUUCGUUCAUCCCUUUUGGGAUAUUUUUCUCUCCGCUGAGGAGAUCUAUUCGAGUUUUUGUUAUUGAGCUGUACAAAUUUACGCAAGUGCCUGGCUUGAAUGAGCUCUUCAAUUUUAUCCUUUAGUGUUUGACACUCUAAUGACUUUCUACGGCAAGUGCACCGCGUUGUCAAGUCUCCAAGGACGAAUUUUGAAUCCACAAGGAACAGUUGAAUAUUCAAGUAAAAGAUUCGUUAAAUAUAAAACUAAAUAAUAAAAGUUUGUUGGAAUUUGUUGUGAUGGCAAUUAUUAACAAGAAAACAAGGCAAAUAGUUGUUACUUCAAUUGGAAAAAUAGGGAUUGAGUUUCAUCUUUCUCACUCUUUUGUAUUUUAAUUAAUCAUGAUAAUAUGGUGUCCUAUGAUUGAUAUUAAUGUCCAUAUAAAAAUCAUUUAUACUGAUUCCUUGCAUAUAAAAUUAUUAAGAUGUUUCUCAAAUAUCAAUUUCUCGCAUAUUUAUAAAAACAACUUAGAAUCAAGACCAGAUGUUGAUAGCAAUUAAUAUUUCAAGUCAAUUCAUAACACUCAAAUAUGUUAAGUAUUAUUGUUUAGGUCAUAACCAUAAAAAAUACUUUCCAGUUAGAUUUAAGAUUCUAGAUCAAGAAUUAGAAGCAAAACAAUAAUAUCAAUAAUUAAUCAAGAACGGAAUAUUAUAUUCAAAUAUAGUUAUUCUAUAAAUAAUAAAUUCAAAACAUAUAGUUAUUCCAAUUACUUAAUUGAUUACUAAUCAAUAAUAAUAAUAUAUAUAUAUAUAUGUGGAUGUAUGAUAUUAUGAUAAAAAAAACUAUAAUGAUGAGGAUUAGUAUGUUGAACUAUGCUCUCAAUAACAUUUACAAUGCUAAUAAAAGGAAAGGUCCAAGUGAUGAUUAGGCCAUCCUCCAAAGUCAUUAUCAAAUUUGUUUUUGGUGAUAUUAAAGCAAAAGAUAUGAUAUGUUCAAGUGGUGAAAGUUUUUUUUCAUUAUUUAGUUUGUUAUAUUGGAAAGUUUGAGUGUGUUGAUAACGACAUGACAAAUAAAAUGGUGCUUUGCUUGAAUUGAAUGGUAGAUUGAAGUAGGGUUAUUAGCUUAUGUUUUGAAGGGAGUGUCAAAGAGAUAGAAACCUUGAUACCUACAAUUCUCUCUUCAAGAUAGACUAAUUAAGAUUAGUAGUAAGGUUGAUAAUGAAAUUGUCACUCAUUGUUUAUAUUGCCUACUUUGUUAUUUGUAUCGUUAUACAAAGAGGAUGCAUAAUUUGCUAACUUUUUUUAUAUUAUCUUUUAAUUAUAUAAUUUUGUUCUUUAAUAAAUAAAAAAUAAUUUAUUUAAUAAAAUAAAUAGUUGAAUAACUUUUUUUUUAUUUCAAAAUAACUAAAUAAAUUUUCUUUUUAAAAUAACAUAUACAUAAUUUUUUAAUACUAUUUUUACAAAAUUAUAUAUACAUAUGUAUACUAAAUUUUAUUGAUUUUCUAUUUUUUUUAGUUAAUUGUUUAUAAAAAUUAUAAAAUUAGAAAAAGUUUAAAUACACAUGCAAGAAAGCACAUCUGUUUUCGUUAAUAUUGAAUAAUACAAAUAAUUUAUUUACUUGUCUUUUUAUUAUUUUAGGCUGAAUAAAUUCUGUUUCACUCUUCAUUGCAGAGAGAGAAACUCAGACUAAACAUAAAUCAAAUGUGGUUUAAUUUUGUUUAGUUUUAAUUUAAUAUAAAAUUCAAAUAAAGUGAAUGUUUUGUAGUUUGAUUCGAAUUCACUUUUGUACUUUUUUAUUAUUAUUAUUAAAUUAUUAAAUAUUACAAACAAUUGUAAAAUAUUUCUAAUGAAAAUUUAUCAAACAAAAAGAUAUUGUGAAUUUUUUUAUAUCAUUAUUCUUAUAAUAUUUUAACUUUCUUUUAUAUUCAUAAAUAAAUUAUAGUUAAAAUUUUGCUAUAAUAUUUUGAUAAGAAUAUUAAGAAUAAUAAGUACAUCCUAAAGCAACAUUUAAAAUGCAUAUCCAUAUUCGUUUGUUAAUAAUUAAUUAAUUUUAAAUAUAGAACAUUAUGCUUAAAUAUUAUAAACCUUUUUGUUCAAUUUUUACCUUUUAAUUCGAAUCAAGACCAAACAGUUUAGUUAACAAAAAAAUAGAUAAAAAUCUUAAAAAAAAAUAUUUUAAUCAAUUUUUUUAUGGUUUCGGUUUAGAACUUACUAAAAUUUUAUUGGUAAUUUCAAUAUUUUUUUUGAGUUAGUAAAAUCAAUAAAUCUUUAUAAAACUUUAAGUAAAAAUUCUAAAGAAAAAAUGACUUGUUGAAAUAGUUUGAUUCUCAGUGGUAUAGUAAGAAAAGGGGCUAAAACAAUGACGGAGAUGAAUGAUAUUGUUGGGUGUGAGUCUUGUGAUCUCCUAUUGUAAACAGAGACCAAACAUCCAUAAAAUUGAACUACCUAAACUCUCUGAUCUUGAAAUCUAACCACCACUCUUCCUAUAUCCAUACUUUUAUUUGCGUAUUUUAAUGAACUCUGUAAUUUUUUAGCCUUUUAUUGCGUCUCAAGUGUUUGAUGAAAACCCUGAGCGAGAGCACUGUGCAUUGGCAUAGAAUACCCACAAAAACUACCUCAAAAGAGAGGGACAUGCUUUCUCUCAUUGUAUUUUGCCACCCUUGGGUUCAAUUUCUAUGUGCAGGUGCAUACAUAAUAGAACAAAGAAUAAAGGGAACAAUCGGAGUGGUAGGCAGGUACAUACAUGUAUCUAAUCUGAACAAAGAAUAAAGGGAAAACAAAAGGAACAGAUGUGCAUGUUUUCAUCAUUAGUGUGAAUGAGAAGAAUAUGAAUCUGGAUAAGUUGAUGUUGAAAUGGGAGGUGAUGGGAAACAUGUACACCUUGGAUCAUGAAUUACCUUCUUGUUACUGAUAUGAAGCUUGGAACACAAGACACAGUACCUCCCUCGAAACCUUUGAUGGACCAAGUUAUCUUGUAUCUCAUUGUAAUCACAAUACUCUUCCAUAUCUGAGUUAUUUUUCUUAGUCUCUUCCUCUGUAUCUUCGUCAUCGUCAUCAUGAAUAGGUAUCCAAGUCAAACCAAGCAUUGGAAGAAUAACUAGGAGAGCUUUAUCGAUUAUAUGGUUGCUCCAUUUUUUCAGGCUCUCCAAAAACAAUGAUGGAGCCACGACCAUUCCUGCUCCAACCCCAAAACCAACUCCAAUUGAUACAAAAGUCCAGUCAAAUUUAGCACCAGAAUCUGUAUGUACUUCAGAUUUUGAAUUGCGCUGAUCAGGACACAUAUUCAAAGGAAUUCCACAUAAGUCUGCAUUACCAACAUAGGAAGAUGCGUCAAAUGUUUGAAUUUGCCUACCUACAGGGAUUUUUCCCACCAGACGGUUAAAGGAAAGGUUCAGGUAUGAGAGGAAAUUUAAACGUUCAAAUUGUGUGGGAAUUUCACCACCAAGAUUGUUGCUUGACAGGUCCAAUGACUCAAGCUGUUUUAAAUUCCCUAUAGAUGAAGGGAUUUGGCCUGUUAAACCAUUGUGAGACAAGUUGAGAGCAUAAAGUCUAGUAAAAUCCAUGAGCUCUUCAGGUAUUGUUCCUUCAAAAUUGUUGGAUGAGAAGUCAACAGAUGUGACGAGAUUCAGGACUUUGACAAACUCUAACUGCAAACCUUUGACUGUAAGUGUCACAGAAUCAUGAUAAUAUAUACCAUCAAAUGUAAGGAUCUUAGAUUCUAUGGGACUGAAUUUGGAUACACGAUCUUCAUCAAGCAUCAUUGCUUUCCAGGUUUUCAAGCAUUUUGCUGGAAGUAAGCCACUGAAAUUGUUGAAAGCCACAUCAACAAUUUGAAGCAUAUCCCAAAAAUCACUGGUACGAGGACAUGCAAUGUGACC